AUAUCAAUAAGCGGAGGAAAAGAAACCAACAGGGAUUGCCCUAGUAACGGCGAGUGAAGCGGCAACAGCUCAAAUUUGAAAUCUGGCCCCAGGCCCGAGUUGUAAUUUGCAGAGGAUGCUUUUGGCAAAGCGCAUACCGAGUCCCCUGGAACGGGGCGCCACAGAGGGUGAGAGCCCCGUAUGGUACGACGCCGAGCCUCUGUAAAGCUCCUUCGACGAGUCGAGUAGUUUGGGAAUGCUGCUCUAAAUGGGAGGUAAAUUUCUUCUAAAGCUAAAUACCGGCCAGAGACCGAUAGCGCACAAGUAGAGUGAUCGAAAGAUGAAAAGCACUUUGAAAAGAGGGUUAAAUAGCACGUGAAAUUGUUGAAAGGGAAGCGCUCGUGACCAGACUUGCGCCGGGCGGAUCAUCCAGCGUUCUCGCUGGUGCACUCCGCCCGGCUCAGGCCAGCAUCGGUUUUCGCCGGGGGACAAAAGCUUCGGGAACGUGGCUCCCUUCGGGGAGUGUUAUAGCCCGUCGUUUAAUACCCCGGCGGGGACCGAGGACCGCGCUUCGGCAAGGAUGCUGGCGUAAUGGUCAUCAGCGACCCGUCUUGAAACACGGACCGAGGAGUCAAGCAUUAGUGCGAGUGUUUGGGUGUAAAACCCGCACGCGUAAUGAAAGUGAACGUAGGUGAGAGCUUCGGCGCAUCAUCGACCGAUCCUGAUGUUUUCGGAUGGAUUUGAGUAGGAGCAUUAACGCUUGGACCCGAAAGAUGGUGAACUAUACUUGAAUAGGGUGAAGCCAGAGGAAACUCUGGUGGAGGCUCGCAGCGGUUCUGACGUGCAA
rnacentral:rRNA from 1 species